rnacentral:rRNA from 1 species
AACGAACGCUGGCGGCAUGCCUAACACAUGCAAGUCGAACGAGAUCUUCGGGUCUAGUGGCGCACGGGUGCGUAACGCGUGGGAAUCUGCCUUGGGGUUCGGAAUAACUCCCCGAAAGGGGUGCUAAUACCGGAUGAUGUCGAAAGACCAAAGAUUUAUCGCCCUGAGAUGAGCCCGCGUAGGAUUAGCUAGUUGGUGUGGUAAAGGCGCACCAAGGCGACGAUCCUUAGCUGGUCUGAGAGGAUGAUCAGCCACACUGGGACUGAGACACGGCCCAGACUCCUACGGGAGGCAGCAGUGGGGAAUAUUGGACAAUGGGCGAAAGCCUGAUCCAGCAAUGCCGCGUGAGUGAUGAAGGCCUUAGGGUUGUAAAGCUCUUUUACCCGGGAAGGUAAUGACUGUACCGGGAGAAUAAGCCCCGGCUAACUCCGUGCCAGCCGCCGCCGUAA